rnacentral:miRNA from 1 species
CCAUCCAUACUUGUACGGGU